AUGCAAAUAAAAUAAGAGAAGCGGUAGGCGAUUGAGAAGAGAGAGAAGCACGUGGGAAAAAAAAAGGGUAUGGAGCGCGUGUGUAUCUUCAAAUGUUUACACAAUCACAUCGGGAAACGGCGGAGUUUGUUGUACGAAUGACGGCUUUUCUCUCUUCACCGCAUCUUUAUCCCUUUUUAAUUCUCUAACUUCUUCAUGUUUUGACGUGAUUUUCUCUUCUUCUUCAUCUCUCCAAAACAGAUCCCUUCUUCACGCCAUCCUCUCAGUCCUCUCCCACAAUCUCUCUAGCUCCUGCUUGAUGGUUUUGGAGGUUGAAACAUCAAUUUUUAGUCUACUGUUUACUUGGGGAAUGACAAUGAAGAGCCUAAUUGAGGAGUAAAAGAAAGGAAUUUCAGCAGUGGGAGGAAGUUUUUCUUACCUUCUCUUACAUGGAGAUGAGGUUCAACUACUUUACUUGACCAAACGAAUUACUAUGCUGAUUUCUUGCUGAAGCAAAAACACUUUUAGCGGAUCAGAUAGCCAUGUUGCUUUGAGAGACAAUCAUUCAAACCUCAGACACUACUCUGGUUGUAACAAAAUGGGCUAUGUAUAUAUGAACUUGCAAAAGAUCCGUAAUACAUUAUGAAGUUAAUAAUUAAGCAAUCGCUGGUAAACAUAGUUGAAGUUAUAAAAAGCAUUUUGUGCUCUA